CCACACCUGGCCUUUGUGUGUUUAUUUUUCUAACAUUCACUUCUCUCUCUCCCUUUGAGGGACAAAGUUCCUGUCUUACGUUUGCUGACUUUGGAAUAUUCGUGUGGACAUAGGAAGAUGUGUUGGGCACAGGACCCAAGUCUAAAAUCAAAAUUCAUUACGUUUCACUCACACCUUAUACACACACCGGAAGAUGAUCUUGUACAGUGUUUUGAGCUUUGGAAGCACAAACCCAAGCUUCAUGAUGAGGAAACUGAGGCACAGAGGGGUCAAGUAAUUUUCCGAAGCUCACAUAGCAAGGUGGCAGCGAGUUUGAGGCUCCUGCAGGUAGGACUCGGCUGGGCCGGAGGAGCAGGUCCUGAGAAGCCCCCUGCCUAGGAAUGCCCACUGCUGUGGUUCUCCUGGGGGACCCAGUCCUGAGGGAUUGGGCCCCUGAUUUCCCAAGUGAACUGGGGUCACCUGGAGGCUGGGCUGAGCAGAUUGCCUUCCACAGGCCCCUGGCCCAAAGUGUGGGCAAUUGGGAACCCAGGUGAGUGGGGCCGUCUGGGUGCCUGGAAGUGAGGUGGGUGCCCUCCAACCGAGGGGUGGGAGCCACACAGAGCAGGCCCAACUGCCCAGUUCUAUACAGUAUCUUCAAUAACCUGUGCACAGAACCAAGCUUCAUGGUGUGGAACUUCCCAUCAUGUCCAUGCUAGGAAAACUUCGGACUUUGGAGCAUUUCAGAUUUCUGAUUUGGGGAUUAAGGGUGCUUAAUUUGAACCAGAAACAAUUCCAAGGAUGUUUGGAACAACCUGGGUAUUCGGAUCUGCUUUUUCUGCUGUAAUCGUCACAGAUUCUAACUAUGCCAGUGUUUCUGAGGGAGAUUCAACAUCUGAAUUGAAAUGCGCUGUCAAGAUAAAAACACUCAGCGGAUUCUGAGGCCCUGGUGUGAAACAAAGAAUGAAAACUCUCUUAUUAUUGACUUUUUGGAUCCUGAUUACAUGUGGAAGUGCUCACAGUUUGGGUAUCAUGGAUUAAAUAAAAUAUUUAAGGGUUUCCUUUUUUUUUUUUUUAAUGCAGCUACUAGAAAAAUUUAAACAGCACCCGUGGCACAUGCUCAGCUUUGAUUGCACAGUGCCAGUCUGGAGCAAUGAAGAAUCAAU
rnacentral:lncRNA from 1 species